rfam:Triticum aestivum genome assembly, contig: Triticum_aestivum_CS42_TGACv1_scaffold_423961_5BS
CAUGUACUCCCUCUGUCCCGAAAUACUUGUCGAAGAGAUGGAUAAAAUUGGAUGUAUCUAUAACUAACAUACGUCUAGAUACAUUCAUUUCUCUGACAAUAUUUCCGGACGGAGGGAGUACUUG